CAAAUAAACAUGGGCUCGUUCUCCGACGGACUGGCCACAGGGAUGAGCGUUCCAUCAAUGGCUCCAAUCACCCGUGGAAGUUGGGCUAUCGUAUGGAAAGCCUAGUUGGCCUGCACAAUAUUCUCUGCUGUGGUGCACUGUAAAAAAUAACACUACAUCUUACUGCAGUAACACAAGUAUACUUUACUUACUAUAGGCUGACCUAGUGUUCUUACUAGAGUAACAUUAGUAAUGUGCCGAACUUGCAACAAUGGGGUCUAAAACUUGAGAUACACGAGUAAGCUUCACAACUCAGACCUGAGUAAACUGGACUCACGCAGUGCACACGCGCACAGUUGCAGAGGGAGCAUUCUGGAUUCCACAGCCAACGGUCGGCAGUGUUACGGUGUGGCUGACUUUUGGGAUGGGAGUGUAACAGCUUCACCAGUGACUUACUCUGUCCGUUGGAAAACUGAAAAUGCAGAGCAAUGAACUGGACAUGUAAGUUGUGCUUGUUUGGAUGUGAAGUCAGAGGUCAGUUGCUCAAACACUACUGAUUGAAACAUGGAGGUUACAC